UAAGACAGACGGUCGCAGAUGCAAGUGCCGAAAGGCCGCAGAUGAGGAAAGUCCGGGCUUCAUAGGGCAGGGUGCCGGAUAACGUCCGGUGGAGGCGACUCUAAGGAUAGUGCAACAGAAAUGUACCGCGUUAGCAAUGAGGUGUGCACCCUCUUGCAAGUCCAUAUACUUGCAAGAGGGUAUACGGCGAAUGCCGUGUAGGAUAAGUUGUUUUACAACUUAUCCUACCGCACAUCUUUUAUAGCGUAAGGUUGGAAGGGCAGUGUAAGAGACUACCGCCCUGUUGGUAACAACAGGGGCAUAUGUAAACCCCACCCGAAGCAAAACCGAAUGAAAACAUUGUGGUUGCCCGCCACGUUUUAGGUAGGUUGCUUGAACCUAUUGGCAACAAUAGGUCUAGAUAGAUGACCGUCCAACGACAUAACCCGGCUUAUCGUCUUGCUU
rnacentral:RNase_P_RNA from 1 species